GAAGUCCUGUCCCAAGAUAGUGGCAUUAGAGGGUGUUGGUUUAGAGCAUUGAUUAUCAAGAAGCAUAAAGAUAAAGUUAAGGUGCGGUAUCAAGAUAUUCAGGAUGCAGCUGAUGAAGCUAACAAACUUGAGGAAUGGAUUUUAGCAUCAAAGAUUUCAGCUCCUGAUCAAUUGGGUGUUCGGCUUUCUGGAUAGGCCAUGUAUUUAGCCAUGUAUAAAGUCAAAUAAAGGAAGAGUUUCAUAGUAUGUUGAUAUUGGGAGUAUUGUUGAUGUCUAGAGGCAUGAUGGCUGGUGGGAAGGCAUAGUACUUUGAAAGGAAUAUGAUGACAGACUUCAUGAGAGAAUCAGGUUUUGAUUGCGGGGCGUAGUGAAGUGCGACAUUCUCAAGAGUGGCUGGGGAAAUAUUGGGCUUAUAUAAAGGUCAGGCCAGACCUUGUGGCCUCAAUAUCAAGUAAUUUAGAAACCAAGAAAACUGUUGGAAACUCAUUUGAUGGCAUGUUAGGGCUGUCUGAAAUCAGUGAUAGCAGAGAGUUGAAGAAACAUGAAACUUCUGCUCUUUCCUCUGAUAAUGACAAGGAUGAAAAAGUGAAUGAAGUCAAUAAGGUUCCCUUUUGAAGGAUGAUCUCUUUGCCCAGCUGAAGUGGAAGUCUUUGAGGAAGAGAAGACGUGGUAAUGGAAGCUCUGCCCGAAAGCUGCAUUUUAGUAGUGAUGUAAAAGCACCUCUGGCCUCAUGGGAUCAAAAUCUUGUGGAAGAUAUUUGAUUCCAUCAUCUCUCAUGGUUGACCACGAGAACUGCAAACAUUUUGGGGAUUCUCUUUUCAGUUCGUCAGUUGUGUCGCAUCUAACAAGCUUAGUUAUGUAGUCUUUCUAGUCACAGUAUAUAUCAGCUCUGGUGCAUCGUAUCGAUGCUGCUCCGUUUUACUCAGUCUAGCACUCAGCAAUGUCAUCUCUGGAAUGUUUUUAUUUUGAGAGGUCAUGGCAUCCAAGUUUUA